rnacentral:rRNA from 1 species
GUAGGAUGCAAGCGUUAUCCGGAAUUAUUGGGCGUAAAGAGUUCGUAGGCGGGUUUAUUAAGUUGGGAUGUUAAAGUUUUGAGCUCAACUCAAAAAAUGUAUCCAAAACUGGUAAACUAGAGACAGGUAGAGGCAAGUGGAAUUCUGCAUGUAGGGGUAAUAUCCGUAGAUAUGCAGAGGAACACCGAAAGCGAAGGCAGCUUGCUGGACCUGUUCUGACGCUCAAGAACGAAAGCAUGGGUAGCGAACGGGAUUAGAUACCCCGGUAGUCCAUGCCCUAAACUUUGAACACUAGGUGUUGGUGGCUUCGACCCCUUCAGUGCCGACGCAAACGCAUUAAGUGUUCCGCCUGGGUAGUACGAGCGCAAGCUUA